rnacentral:rRNA from 1 species
UGGGGAAUAUUGCACAAUGGGCGCAAGCCUGAUGCAGCGACGCCGCGUGAGGGAUGACGGCCUUCGGGUUGUAAACCUCUUUCACCAGGGACGAAGCGCAAGUGACGGUACCUGGAGAAGAAGCACCGGCCAACUACGUGCCAGCAGCCGCGGUAAUACGUAGGGUGCGAGCGUUGUCCGGAAUUACUGGGCGUAAAGAGCUCGUAGGUGGUUUGUCGCGUUGUUCGUGAAAACUCACAACUCAAUUGUGGGCGUGCGGGCGAUACGGGCAGACUAGAGUACUGCAGGGGAGACUGGAAUUCCUGGUGUAGCGGUGGAAUGCGCAGAUAUCAGGAGGAACACCGGUGGCGAAGGCGGGUCUCUGGGCAGUAACUGACGCUGAGGAGCGAAAGCGUGGGGAGCGAACAGGAUUAGAUACCCUGGUAGUCCACGCCGUAAACGGUGGGUACUAGGUGUGGGUUCCUUCCUUGGGAUCCGUGCCGUAGCUAACGCAUUGAAGUACCCCGCCUGGGGAGUACGGCCGCAAGGCUAAAACUCAAAGGAAUUGACGGGGUCAUAGCUGUUU